GACAAUAAAUAUGGGAUAAUAGGGAGAAAAACAAACUGAGCCGACAAAAGAAAAAAAAGAAAGGAAAAGGAAAGUGCGAAAGUUGUUUCGAAGGAGUUCAAGAGACUAACCGAUAAUCGAAUCCAUGUGUUGAUUUGGGACUGUAUCAUGAGGUUUCGGUGAUAAAAGUUGUUGAACCGGAUAUGCGGGUCUGCAGUCAAUGCUCCUAAAAUUCAGAAGAUCCGAGUACUCCCCAAAUCGGGUCAUAGAUCCGCGUCCUUUUUUUUUUUU